GCCGGUGUGAUGCAAUUGGCAGACAUCGCUACCUCAAAAGUAGUGUUCUGGCGGUUCGAGUCCGCCUGCCGGCA
rnacentral:tRNA from 1 species